UACGUAGGGGGCAAGCGUUGUCCGGAUUUAUUGGGCGUAAAGAGCGUGUAGGCGGCCCGAUAAGUCCGCCGUGAAAGUCCAGGGCUCAACCCUGGAAUGCCGGUGGAAACUGUCGGGCUGGAGUCCGGAAGAGGCGAGUGGAAUUCCUGGUGUAGCGGUGAAAUGCGCAGAUAUCAGGAGGAACACCAGUGGCGAAGGCAGCGCGCUGGUACGAUACUGACGCUGAGACGCGAAAGCGUGGGGAGCAAACAGG
rnacentral:rRNA from 1 species